rnacentral:misc_RNA from 1 species
AACUUUCAACAAUGGAUCUCUUGGCUCUCGCAUCGAUGAAGAACGCAGCGAAAUGCGAUACAUAAUGUGAAUUGCAGAAUUCAGUGAAUCAUCGAAUCUUUGAACGCACCUUGCGCCCUUUGGUAUUCCGAGGGGCACACCCGUUUGAGUGUCGUGACAUUCUCAAAACCUUCUCGGUUUCUCGACCGGGAAGGCUUUGGACUUUGGAGGCUUUUGCUGGCAUUCCUUUGUUGGAGCCAGCUCCUCUGAAAUGAAUUAGUGGGGUCUGCUUUGCCGAUCCUUGACGUGAUAAGAUGUUUUCUAUGUCUUGGGUUUUAGCACUCCUGCUUCCAACCGUCUCACAGUACACAAAUGGUCCACUCGACCCACAAACCUUGACCUCAAAUCGGGUGAGACUACCCGCUGAACUUAAGCAUAUCAAUAAGCGGAGGC